GCCUGGGUGGUGGAAUUGGUAGACACCAGGGACUUAAAAUCCCUUGGAGCUUGCUCCGUGCGGGUUCAAAUCCCGCCCCGGGUACCA
rnacentral:tRNA from 1 species